AUUGAACGCUGGCGGCAGGCCUCACACAUGCAAGUCGCACGAGUGGCGGACGGGUGAGUAAUGUCUGGGAAACUGCCUGAUGGAGGGGGAUAACUACUGGAAACGGUAGCUAAUACCGCAUACCAUCGGAUGUGCCCCGAUGGGAUUAGCUCGUAGUUGGGGUAAAGGCUCACCUAGGCGACGAUCCCUAGCUGGUCUGAGAGGAUGACAAGAAACACUGGAACUGAGACAAGGUCCAGAAUCCUACGGGAGGCAGCAGUGGGGAAUAUUGCACAAUGGGCGCAAGCCGGAUGCAGCCAUGCCGCGUGUAUGAAGAAGGCCUUCGGGUUGUAAAGUACUUUCAGCGGGGAGGCGUUACACGCAGAAGAAGCACCGGCUAACUCCGUGCCAGCAGCCGCGGUAAUAC
rnacentral:rRNA from 1 species